CUAGGCCACGCAAGGACAUUCACCUGUUUCUCCUUUAACCACUUUGUGGUCAGUUUUGCUGUGUGCUUUGGGUCGUGGUCAUGUUGUAAGAUAAACCUUCUUCAUAGACAAGUUUCUGGCAGAGGGCAGUAGAUUUUCCUCAAGAAUUUGACUGUGUAUUGCACCAUCCAUUUUACCUUCUAUCCUGACAAGUGCUUCAGUCCCUGAUGCAGAGAAACAACCCCAUAACAGGAUAUUACUACCUCCAUGCUUUGUGGUAGGGAUGGUGUUUUUUGGAUAGUGAGCUUUAUUGGAUUUCAACCCGAUGUAUCGUUUACUGUAGUGUUGAGGCCAAAUAAUUCAAUUUUAGUCUCAUCCGACCAUAACACCUUUUUCCAUGUGGCCUCAGAAUCUUCAAGGUGCGUUUUGGCAAAGCUCUGUCGUGACUGCAUGUGGCCUUUCUUGAGGAGUGGCUUUUUUCUUGCAACCCUCCCAUACAAGCCAGAUUUGUGGAGAAUUUGUGAUAUUGUUGUCACAUGCACAAAAUGACCACUCUUUGUCAUAAAUUCCUGCAACUGCUUCAGUAUUGAUGUGGGCCUCUUGGUAGCAUCUCUGACCAGUUUCCACCUGGCUCUUUCAACCAGUUCGGAGUGACGUCCUGAUCCAGGGAGGGUCUAUCUUCAUUUCAAGCUGCAAAGCAACAAAAUUUAUUAUUUUGAGGGGGGGAUUUAUUUCUAUAUCCACUGUAAAUGAAAUGAGGGUGAGUAAAUGCCAGAAUUUUCAUUUUUGGGUGAACUAACCCUUUAACAAUCCCAUUUCCCAGGAACACAUACUCUGUACUGUAAAUUGCUUAGCAAAAAACUAGGUUUUCCUAUUCCCAAGCUCUUAAGGUUCCCGUCUUCUCUUUUCUAGACUUCCUGAAGAUUUCUGCAGUUCAGUGACAUUGUGACUGUGUUUGUGCGCAUCAAGCGCAACACUGCAGCCGAGCCAAGUGUCAGACUGAUGGGCAUGAGUCACGGUGGCUCUUCUAUUAGAGAUGCUAAUAGGACAGGACAAAAGCACAGCACCCACUCAGGAUGGAGGAGAUGGGGUAAUGAUGGCUAAUUAACUUACGGGUGCCCUCCCUUCUCUCUCCCUUUAACAUGCACGGAAAAAGAAAGUAUGACUCAUGUUAUGUGAUGACCACCUGCUUUCUGAAAUAUCUCAACAGUUGUUGCCUGCGUAUUUAAAGGUCGACUUAAUCUGAGUUAUUGAGCAAGUGACUGAUUAGUUAUGCAUAUUUGAGGCAGGUAUUGACUUAAUACAUGGACGUGAAAUGAGGUGGGGGGCUUCUACAUUUUAAUAGGUAUAGUGAGGGGCCUGUUAUUGCCCUAAAAUUACUUCUAAAAGACUUCUGAUGCUACCGCGAGGCAGAUUACGGUAGUGAAGCAUGAGAGGCCGCAUGUUACAGUGAUUUGACGUUGCCUGUAAGUCAUGUUGAAAUGAAUAUUUAUUUGGGUUUUUCAUUAAGACUUCACGCUGGGGGGGUGGGGGACGUUAAGAAGUCAUGCAGAAGCAAUAUAAAUUAUGUUAGGUUGUAAUGGUGAAUGUUAAGUGUACAUCAUUAUAUUUCGUGUAAUGGGUUGAUAAAGAAUGGCUUUGAAUCUGCUCAACCAAUCAGAUUUCAGAGCAGCAAGUAGUUGUUUUAGAAACUGAUAAAUAGGUUUCUUAAAGGACAAUUGUGUGAUUUUUAGUGGCAUCUAGUGGUGCGAAUUGCAACCAACGGCUCACUCCACCCCUCCCUUUCGAGUCACUACGGAGGCUGAGAGAGGACGAAGAUGUCAUCACGUUUUCUCUUCUUUGCCAUUGGGGGUUAGGUUUUUACAAAACGUGCUGUAGAGCGGUUUGUCCGUUUAGGGCUUCUGGAGAAACAACAUGGUGAAUUCCAUGUAAGGGGACUCGCGGUGUAUGUAGAUAGAAAUAGCUCAUUCUAAGGUAAUAAAAACAUAACGCUUCAUUAUGUAAGGUCUUUGUAUACCUCUGAAGAUAUAGUUUUGUAUAUUAUAUUGCAUUUCUGUCAAUAGAUCCUCCAAAAAAUUACACAAAGAUUCCGAGGUGUGGAUUCUUUGAGUAAAAAAAUGAAAAUCAUUAUUUUAAAUUCAAUAGAACUGUGACACCUCCGUGCCAUUACUUGUGUAUUUUUUAAGUCACCAUAAAAUCAAAAUGUACUAUUCUUAUUGCAUAUGGAAUAAUGUAGUCUUAUUUAUUUGUGCACUUUAUUAUUACUUUCUAAUUUAUGUGACCUCAUAAUCUGUCAUCAAAUACGUAAACUUCUGCCUAUAUUUUAUUAGCAACAACCAACUUCCAACGAUCCAAAAUGAUGGACAAAAUCAAGUCCCGCUUUUUUCUUAUUUCAGAAGCCGUUUCACUGAGAUGUACAGUAUGUUACGAUAGGGGGGUUAAGACAACCGCUACUUCUGUUUCAUGCCUACUUUAAGAAUAGUUCCCUGUUGAUGUUCGUUUAGGUUUGAUAAUACACUCACAAAUAGUGUUAAACGAUUUUCUGAACAAAAGUGGGACACGAUAAGCUGCUACUUAAAGACAAGUUACAAGUUAUCUGGACUCAUUUGUCCACUGUUUGUGGAGUGAUCUAUAGGGCUUGGUUUGAAUUAGGCGCCACUUAUUUUAAGAGGGUCACAAUAAGUGCCAGGGUUUGUGUAUGUGUCAUGUGUACAGUAUGUUGUGUAUUGUGUAGAGUACUGUAUGAUUGUUGUGGUUGCAGUAAGAAUUACAUUAAUCUCCUCGGUGUAUUCUGCAGAUAGGACAUUAAUAUGCCUGGGAUGAACAUUUAAAUCGAGUUUAUUCUGAAAUUGCACUGGCCUCAACAAAUAAACCCAACUUUAUACUGUCAUUUUUACGGUAUUGCUACUGUGCCCAUUAAUAAAAAACACCUCUGUUGUGAUAUUUGCUGAUAUUCAGCAUGUGAUUUCUGUAUUUUCUAGCCCAAGGGCACAAAUGCUAUGCAAAUCCUCGUCAUUCUCUCUCUAUUUCUCUCCCUGACUGAGUUAGUUAUCUGUUGACCGUUUGUUGGACCGGUGAAUUCCGAGACCUUCUAAACUCUCUAAAUUAUUGGAAAACAGCCAGUUUUGUGUUACUAUCAACUGAUUGAAGGAUUUUAUUUUCGAAACGCUCUAGAUUUUCUCUGCCAAGGCUAAAAUAUUAAAUGAAAGUAAAUAAUUCAGUAUAUACUUGAUUUGAUACAGAUCUCUGUGAACCUUUCUGAGGGAUGAUGAAAAUAGAACGGUGAGGUUUCAUGUUAUUUGACUACUUAAAUUUAAGUUAGAGAUGCUUUAAAUGCUUUUUUCGUGCAUUUAUAGAUGUGACUAUGUAUAUACACACACACACACACACACAAAUAUAUUUUUGUUUCUGUGACUUGAACUUUAAUGCUUAAGUGGUUUUUAUUCCAGCGCAGGGAAAGAAAAACAAGGUAAUUUGAAGCAGAAAAAAGUUGUUUGACAGAAAUGUUCUCAAACCUUUUACACUCUCUUGUACUUACAGUUUUAUCCCAGGAGUCGUGAGUGCCAUUGCAGGUUAAACUUCCUGUGGGACUAUUAAAUGUAAUCUCAUUGUCGUCUUUUUGGCAGUUUGUCUGACAUAUGUGCUUAUACUGGAGCACAGAGCAAUUUGUGGAUACAGGCAGUCUACGUUUGAUGGGAGAUGUGUCAAAUUAACUAUACGAAGAAAGCUAAAGAAAACUAUGGCGGUCAAUGAAAUGGUAAACCAGUAAUUUUAUUACAUCUACAGUAAAAGUGCUGCCACCAUGCUAGGUCCCGUUCAUACUUGAAACUAUAAAGAUAAAGUUUUAAAAACUGUUCUAAAUAUACUGUAAGAAGCACCACACCACAACUGUAAUGAUGCAGAGGCAUGACAUUGUUGGGAUGACUUUCAUUUUCUGCUAAAUUAAACUCUGGAAUAGCUUUCCCGAUACUAUUCGAGGGUCAGACACACUCCCAAUUUAAAUGUAGGUUAAAGACACAUCUUUUCAGCCAAGCAUUCAAUUAAUGCAUAAUAUGCUAAAUGAAAAAAAUGGAUGAACAGCAGCUAAGCUAAUUAGUCUCUUUCUGCCUUCCUCCCCCGCCUCGGGAUGGGAGAGAUUACGCCAGGCCCAGAUAAACGUCAUAUCCCCAUCCCGUGCCAUCCUCCUGCGAGAGCCUGCGGACUGACUGACCAUCCCAGCUCAGGCAAUCCCAUCCCCGAUAAUCUGUCAUGAAUGGUGGGUGGUGAGGACACGGAGACAAGGACAGAGGACCCAAGUGCAGACAGCGGUGCUUCAGUGCAUUCGGCUGCUUAUUAUGAUUCUGCACAUCACAUAUGCUUGUUUAAAUCAACUUUAUUCUCCAAAAAUGUCAGAAAAACGGAACGCAAACAGAUCAGCCCGCUGGAUUUAUGUCAGAGCCCUGGGAGCGAGGUGAAUAUUGAGCUCUGUGACCAGAAUGAAAAGUGCGGAUAUAUGGUGGGUGGAUUUUCUUGGAUGAAAGAGUGGCUUUUUCAGGAUCAUGUUAUUAGCUCAUUUCUUUCUUCCCACAGAGACUAAGAGUGUCUGCGGUACUUUAUGAGAUGGACUUUGAGCUUUACGUCUUAAUAGAGUAAAAUUCUGCAUUAUAAAACGAUUGUAUGAGUCAUUGUAAAAGAGACGGUAUAAUUUACACACUGCUCUCAAAGCAUACUCAACAGUACCAGAUUUCCUACCUAUUUUUUUUCUUUCUGUACUGCUUAGAAUAGAAUAGAAUAGAAUAGAAUAGAAUAGAAUAGAAUAGAAUAGAAUAGACAACCCAGUCUCACAGCAAGUCAUGACAGAAUUUAGAAUCUAUUGAUUUGUGUUCAUGGACACGAAUUCCCUCUUUAUUCAUGUCAGUCAGCAUGACUUUUUCCAUGUCACUUAGCACAACUUUUUUUCGUGUCGCUAAGCACGACUUUCAAUAUACAGACUCAAUGUGUAUAUGCAUUUAUAUAUUUAUAACCUACAUAUGACAUAAUACAUAUUUUAAGCAACCACUUAGCCCACCCUAAACCCUAAAAUCACAGGCGCAAAGGUUAAUUUUACUAAAAAGAACGCAUUUUGCGAUGUGUAAAAGCAACAAUAAAGGCCCUCCUAACCCCGCCAUUAAACCUAACGUAUAGGGGCAAAGUCAAAUUAUACAUACGAAUGUGAUCACACAAAUUCACAUGAAUGAGUGCACCUCAAAAAGUAAGUGCGAAUUCCCGUUAGAUCGCGUUGAUUACACCAACACAUCCUCACUCCCGACUCAUCACAUAUUUACGCUCAUCACAUAUUACGUCCUUCGGCGUCACUUUUGACUCCUUUGGCGUCGUUUUUCGACGUGAAGGGCACGCGAAUUUCACUGGCAUUAUGAAAAUGUAUAUUAGAUAUAAUUUGCAAUGAUGAUGUUUCGGGGUUUAAUUUAAGUUUAAUGGCCAGGAUAAUUGUGUUUACAUGACACUGUUCAGACAGUUUGAGCAAGUAAUGUAACAGUUUAUUUAUCGUAAUUUAAAACACAUAAUACAAGCAGUCACAAUGUCGUUGAAAAAUACAGAUAUUCCAAGGGUACCAACGCGAAACGAUCGAUUUGUAUGAGGAACAGAUGCGAAAGUGAUCACCGUCCGCCGUAAAUCUCAAAUCCAGUGAAGAACGACGUUCAAAAUUUGCCGCCAGAGGAAGUUACGUCAGCUUCGAUGCCAUUGGCUGUCCCGUAUCUCGUGACCGAUCGCCGCGUCAUUUCGUUGGCUUUGAACGUGAAAGGGUAUUGGCUCCCGCAACCGACUGCAUCUAGCUGUUCCGGUUUAUCUUUAAAUGGGUGCCGACCUCAUGCGUUCGCGGACACGCACGGCAUCUUCAUGUAAAUUUAUCGUACGGCGUUGGUGCAAAAAGGUCUUCGAAACGAUUUUUUUGUUAUAUUUUGUAAUGCUUUUGGUCAGUUUGUGCAAUAAAUAAGUACUUUAUUAUUUAAGCACUUUAUUUACUUUGUGUCUCAAACAAGUGUGUGCGCUUUGUUUAUAAAUUCACUUAAAAAAGUGUAAUGAAAGGGAAACAUGUUAAUUUGUUCUAUUAUUUUGUCUUAACAUAGCACUGAACAAAAACGGAAAAGCAGUUUUAAAAUCUUGUUCUUGAGUAAUAAUUUUGUCCACUUGGGGUUUUUUUUAAGCUAGAGAAAUAGUAAUGGGAUAACGAGAAAUUGUUUUGUUAUAUAUCGUUUUUCUGUUCUGUUAAUCUGUUGUUGUUACUAUUUCCAGUAAAAAUUUGGUGCAAAAUUCAUGUUUGCAAAUUCGAUUACAGGAAUAGAUAACUAAAUAAAUAGAUUUAUUUGGUUUAAAUGAUGUCCAGUGUUUUAACAUCUACAUGAUUAAUUAGCCUACAGGCACAUUAAGAGCACAAAUCACAAAAUAUUUUAGUGGUCAUGAAAAUGUAUUCAGAUUUAGCAUAUUAAUGAUGCAUUUAUCUGGUAAAUCAUGACAUUUCAUCUACAGGAAAGUAAAUGUAAGUUCAAGUGAAUGCUUUUUAAAAGUAAAAAGAAUUGGUAUCGAAAUCGGCAAUACUGGCCCUGCAUUUACUUGGUAUCGGAUCGAUACUAAAUUUUACAGUAUCGCCCACCACUAGACUCGGGAGUGAUAACGGGUUGAUUACACAUGAAAUUUGAUUGAAAUUCGUGCUGAGUGACACGAAAAAAAAGUUGUGCCAAGUGACAUGAAAAGAGGGGAAGUUCGUGUCCAUUAACACAAAUCAACAGAUUAAAUUUUGUAACUAUGUCACGAAUUUCCGUGAGACUGUUGCAAUAGAAGUUGGUGGUCUUUGGUGGUUCACUUGACUUUGGUAGUUCAGACGCCAAAGUCAUGGGAUCAAUUCCAAGGAAAUAUGUGCACAUAUAAAAUGCAUAGAUUUAACGCACUAAAUCACAUUGCAUAAAAGCAUCUGCCAACUGCAUCAAAUGUUGUUGGCAAUGCCUCUCAUGGUUUAUGGCUUUAUUGAUUUAUUAUCGUCUUCCUCGCACAAUGUUUCUGCAAGUGAGAGUCAUUCAUCUGAUUGUAUUUGAUAUUUAGCUCAUCAGCUGUAAUCUCCCAGUUAAGUGUAUUGUGUGUUGAUUGUGUGUGUACUGUAUGUAUACAGUAUAGAGUGACAGUCAGAUUGACAACCUGGAUAAAUAUCCAUUAGGUGGGCAGCAGCUGGCUCAGAACCUCCUCUUGAACCAUUAACAUUCCACUCAACAUCAACUCAUCCACGUCUCCUCAUUUCCAUAUAAUAUAAUUAGCAGGGUUAGAGGAGACUGCACAGAGCUAUGUAAAUGCAACACCUCCAUGGAAACAUGUGAAAUAUCAAUGAUCCACUCUGUGUUAUGUAUUUCUGGACCAAACUCGUUGGCAAAGGUGCGAAAAAAGAAGGCGGAUUCACGUCAUGUUGCUCACACCAGGCAGCUCUAUGUGCACGGCAGCCCUAAAAUGGCAAUGUAAUUCUGAUGUUUUUCCUUCUUUCACUCGCUUGUGGUUGGUGUUUAUACUGUAUGUUGAAUGAAUCAGCAAUAAGGAAAUGUUUUAAGCUGACUUUAACAUUUAGAAGUAUUAUUAUUGUUAUCUGUGUAUUAGCUUUUGGUCUCAACAUUCACAUCCCCACAAGUGUGUUCAUUUUUGUGAAAAAUGCAAAAAUUGCAAAAAAACAUAAUAUAUUCUGUUUUAUUCACAAAUUAUUAUCAUUUCUUCCGUUUAUGAUGGCAUGCAUUGAUUGUUGGAGUCAAUGCUACGGCACAGCGUCACUUGGCGACCAUCUUGGCAACAUUUCCGGCCAGCUGUUUUCU